AAUGAUGGUGAGCCAAUUAGAAGAUCGAUAUGUUAUAGCACUCACCUACUUUAAUGAUUAACAUCGUUAACGUCAAACAUUUCUCAUUUAAUUAGCUGUUAAGAGAUCUAAAUCUAAAAUUAUUAAAUCAAACUGUACGUUGAGAUACCAUUUUUAGGGGAGAGAGUCGUAACAGUAAAUAAAAUAAAAGUGUAUUUAUUACUCCUUAAGUCCUUUAUGCUCUUCUGUUCUGAUGUGAUUCUUCUUUUGCAUGUAUCUCAUAGAUUGAUUUGUAUAAACACACAAGAAAGAACCAUCACCAUGCCUUCGGAGUUAACUCAGGAAGAACGAUCCGCCCUCGCACAAUCCAUCGCCGAGUUCCACACUUACCAGCUCGGUCCAGGAAGCUGCUCCUCGCUCCACGCGCAGCGAAUCAACGCGCCGCCGGAGAUCGUCUGGUCAGUCGUCCGUCAGUUCGACAAACCGCAGACCUACAAACACUUCAUCAAAUCCUGCUCCGUCGAGGAAGGAUUCGAGAUGCGUGUUGGAUGCACGCGCGACGUGAUCGUGAUCAGUGGAUUGCCGGCGAACACGUCGACGGAGAGGCUCGAUAUACUCGACGACGAGAGGCGAGUGACGGGGUUCAGCAUCAUCGGAGGAGAGCAUAGGCUGGUGAAUUACAAGUCGGUGACGACGGUGCACAGGUUCGAGAAGGAGAGACGGGUAUGGACGGUGGUGCUCGAGUCGUACGUCGUGGAUAUGCCGGAAGGGAACUCGGAAGACGAUACAAGAAUGUUCGCUGAUACUGUCGUUAAACUGAAUCUGCAGAAAUUGGCAACUGUCACCGAAGCCAUGGCUCGUAACGCCGCCGGUGAGCGAGGCGGUUCUCAGGUGACUUAGAAAACAAAAUUAUAUGGAAAGAAGAUGAAAAAUGAAAAUUGUUUUUUCUAAAAUUACUUUGUUGGGAAAUGUUAUUUACGAUGCUUUCAUAUAAGAUUCUACACUUUUGUCUGUUUUAACCUCAAAGUUAUUUAGUAUCCAUUUAAGUCUAAAGGUUAUUUUGGACAUUGAGCAUUCCGGAUAAGUAGGAAUCGUUUCCUCUUUUGGUAAGUUAUAUUUCUGCGCGUCUUAGUCAAAACUUUCGUCUACGCAACUAACUCUCAUACAAACCAUACUAGAAAUGUAGAGAUAAUGGUUUCUCGUGAUAUUUUUAUUUUUGGUUAGUUAUAUCGUGAUAAAUUUUUUCACGUGUAUUUCUUCUUUUGUGUAGGUUGAUUUUUCACGUUUAUUUUGUUGCACUGUACACGUUAUCCGUGUUAAAUUAAAUGUAACUAUUUGUUUUGGAUCAAAACUGUUACUAUUUUACUUUUGCUUUACAGUAGUAAAAUGAUUGGGUUUUCUUCUUAAAGAGAGCAGUGAAAUAAAUGUACUUUUGGUGUUUAUAUAAAACUACAAAAUAUAAAAAACUAGGGUAAACCCGCCCUACGGGCAUGUGACCAAGUAAAAAACAAAUAAUACAAAUUUAUUUUAAAUGUUUUUCGGUCAAUUUAUUUUAAAAUUUUAAUUUACUUUUAACUAAAAAUAGUACUAAAGUUCAUAUAUUUUACAGCAAUUUUAACUGUUCAUAUUAGAAAUUAUACUUGUCUAAUUAUUAUAAAAUUGUAAAAAAAACUUAUUUUUAUUUUUUUAUACAUUUUAAAAAUCUAAGGAUUUCACGAUAUAAAAAAAUAAAUUAUUCAUUAUAACUAAAAAUAUUUUAAGAUAGUUAAAUAGAAAAGUAUGAAACUAUUGUUACUCUUUAUACAUAUACAUCUUUGUUAGAAUAUUAUAUGUAUUAUCAUAUAUUAAAACAAAGUUAACCAUGUUAUUAAAAUAAAUAUUACUGUCUAGCUUAUAAUAUAUAAUCUUUACAAUAUUUAAUUAUAUAUUUACUAUAUUGAUUGUGUUUUGUUAUUGAAUACAAUUAUUUCUUUUCUUUAUUAUAGAUUCAUAUAUAUUAAUCUUAUACACAUAUUUAAAUUAAUAUAAUUUAGUAUAAGAUUCUUAUUUGAAAUAUUAGUAAUAGAAAUUUAUUAAAUCUACUAUUCGUUUAGAUUUUUGAUGAAAAAGCGGUUUUUAAUUUAUUAAAAUAUCCAUUUAAGUAUUUAAUAAACAAAAGACAUAUAAUUAGUUUCUAAAGAUAAUUUUUGAAAUCAAAUAAUGUUUUAAAUAGUUAUAAAGCUUAUGUAAGGAAAAUUGUAUUUAAUUAAAGUGCUGAAAAUAGAUAAAGUUUCUGAAAUAUAGGAAAAGAGUGUUUACAAAUGUGUAUAAAUAAGCUGUAUUUUGACUACGAUUCUUGCGUUGCUUUCCAAAGACUCGUUUUAACUUACCAAAAUGCUACGAUACAACAACGUCUUGGUUCCAAUUUGUAUUGAGAAUUCGUCAACUAUUUAUAUUCAGUGAACACAAAAAUGAUUUCUUUGGUCCAGUCUCUGACUCUGUUUUUGUAAUGAGGAUCUUAAUUAUUUAGUUAUUAGUAACAUUUUGGAGAAUGAGAUGUGAAUAUGUAAGGGGGAAAACGGCUGAUUAUUUGCCAAACUCGUGUAUUUGAGAUCAGUAACUUUUUAAAACUCGAUGUAUAUCCUUGCAGAGUCCGGAGUGAUGGGUGGUUAUGUAUCUUGUUGGGUUAACCUGAUACGACUGUUGGAGGAAGAAACAUUGUUUUAGGUUUUAAAAAUGUUGGCUUUUAUUGUGUUACAAAUUGACCAAAAUUAGCUUUAAAAAACAAUAUGAUUGGAAUAUGUUUAAGGUA